rnacentral:lncRNA from 1 species
UAAGGAAUUGGCUUACACUCACCAGAAGCUACAUCAAUAUCACAUCAAUACAAAAAUAUACAGUCAUCAUGAAGAAGAGCAAGGUUUGACUACGAACGAAAUCAAACGAUAAAAGAACGACCUCCAUCCUUGCUAUCCCAGGUUGCCGGCCUGUAACACAUCCUAGAUCGAUGAUGAAGAAGAAGAAACUCCAAAUAGCACAAUCAACGCGCUCACGUCAAAUUAACUCUUUACAUGUACCUGCAACUGGUGUUGUAGUAAUCUGUGAGCCACAGGGACUCGGCAAUCUCAUUUCCAAAAGUAUCAAGACUAGCAAAGCUUGAUGGGUGAGGUAUGGUUAAGUGGUGAGGCUGCAGCAAGCGCCUAUGCAUUUAUUUGAGGUGGCUAACUUACGAGUACAAGAAUAGGAGGGGGACGAUUUACGCAUAACCGGACAUGAACUAAUAAUGAUCAAAUGAAUGAUCCUCAACACCUACUUACAUCACACAUAACCCCAUCGUGUCCUCGAUCAGAGAAGGAGCUCGCGAAAGAGACAGUCAUGGUUACGCACUCAGUUCACACAUUUUAAUUAAGCUUACUUUAAGUUAUCUAGAACCGGAUGUUAAACAAAGUUUCCACGUUGCCACAUAACCGUGGGUAUGGCUUUCUGAAAGAUUGAACCCUACAGGGGUACUCCAACUACUCCAUCACAAACUACCACAUGCUGCGACGGAAUGACCUCGAUGAGGGAAAACAUGUGAUCUUCUUGGGUUCCUAUUGAAAAGCCUCAACAUCAAGAUGGCCCAAAGUAUCCUCGCAAUCCCUCACACAAAACGCUCGAGAAAGGUAAAGCAAGUCCAGCAAGGCCACCCAAAGUGCCGACAAUCCCGAUAGGAGCCGCGUAUCUCGUUCUUAGGGAACAAUCGGAUGAGGGCAGCAUACAGUGGCCUGAUAAAAAUCACCCUAGUUGCCCCGGGUUUGCCCCGCACACGACUCUGUUUAGGAGCAGCACAAUCAGCACUAACUCCCUAUGUAUUAUGUUGAAUUACUCCUCGGGUAGCGCUAACUCCCUAUGUUUUCGGUAUUAACAAAGCUGUUAUGUUGAGAAAAUAUAGUACCAAUGUUGGUCCUUACCAGACGAGCUUUAUCACAAAACGAGAAUUUAGGGGGUCCCCAUAACAACCCCAAGCAUGUUAGCAACGCUCAUUUAUGGAACAUAACAUUGGUAGCCGAAACUAAGGCGACAAAGGUGGAACAAAACACUAGACUAAAAAGGCCAAGCCUUCCACCUUUUACCAAGUAUAUAGGUGCAUUAAUUUAAAUAGCACUAAUAAGGUGAUAUAAAAAGGAACCCAUGUUAUCACAUGGAAGCAACUACACCUGCAACUAGCAACUCUAUCAAAUGGUUAAGCAAGUGGUAACAUAACCAAUCGGUGGUUUGCUAGGUUGUAGAACAACUGAAGGUUUUCAUGGUAAUAUUGGGAGGCUUAUUAAACAGGUGGUAGGCAGCAAUACAUAGUGAUAGAAACGAUAUAACUUGCAUGGAAAUGAUAGUAGUGGUAUCUAGGAAAAUGAUCAUCUUACAUGUAAUCCCGCUUGAAAGAACGACUCCGUGAAGCAGACGAACCUACGUAGUCGAACGGAUCCUCACAUUUUGACACAUUUGUGGAACUCUAUCGAGACGACCAAACCAGAAACAAGAAUCAACACACGAUAUUAACCAUGGCACAUGAACGACAUGAUGCACAACACAUAUGAUGCAUGCUCGAUUAAAUCAUUCAAGGCACGGCAUGGCAAUUCACAAUCAAACACUACACAUUAAGUGAAGCUCAAUAUGCAACGAGUUGCAUACUGAAGAAACUCCACAAUUGAAUUAUUUAUUUCACUCCAUUGAAGUACAAAGAAAUAUUAAAUGUUGUUGAACAUGGCAAGGGGUGAAUCACAAAUAAUCUACCUAUCUAGGCAUUUUAAAUGAGGCCGGAAACGACAUAUAGCAUCUCCGAACCGACUCCACACGUUAACUUUGUAAUCUGUCCAAAUCUAUCCUAACUGCAUUUUAUGUUUGUUAAACGGCAAAACAAAGUGGAUCACGUGAUUUUACUCGUCGUUCUAGUCCAUUUACAUAAAUGGCUCAUCUCCAACGGAGCUACGCUUAAUUAACUACGGACUAAACCAUUUUUAUCACAUCGACACACAAACCAAUGCAAACAGCAUGCUAAACAGUAAAUAUGCAUGAAAGUUGGAAAAUAAUAUUCUAUGCGAAAAUCUACAUGUUCUACAUACAUAAUUUGUCGCGAUCCGACACACAGCUUAAAAACUACGGGCGUUCUAAAAUAGGCAUCUAAUGAAAAUUGCAAUUACUAGACGAAAGAAAAACUACGAGCAACAGACACAGGCUGGGCUAGCCACUGCCAAUGACAGUGGGGCCGCACAGGUGGUCAACUGGUCAACUCAAUAUCAGUCAAUCAUGGCGUUGGGCCCCGGAUAUCGUUGUCUCAUAGAAAAAAGGAAAAAAAUGGCCCAGGGUGAAACAAGAUGGCACUAGCCACUCGAUCUACUCCAUGUACCACGGCAGGAAUAAAAUGAAAAACCAAAUAACCUAACAUGUCGGACGGAUCUAGGGAGAACACAACCUUUCUGCCAUGGUUGUGAGCUUCUCACCAGCGAGGAACGGGAAGGCAGCGGCGAUGAUGUCCGGUGGCGCGGUCCGGAAGCGGUGGAUCCGAUGACACGGGCUCCAUUUCCAGCGUCAGGGGAUCAAUUCGCGGUGGACCGCUGGUGCACAAGCUGCGAGCACCCCAUCCAUGGUGGGGUUGAUGUUCCUGUUGGUCAAGAGAGAGAGAGAGAGNNNNN